GAUGAACGCUGGCGGCGUGCCUAAUACAUGCAAGUCGAGCGAACGGACGAGAAGCUUGCUUUUCUGAUGUUAGCGGCGGACGGGUGAGUAACACGUGGAUAACCUACCUAUAAGACUGGGAUAACUUCGGGAAACCGGAGCUAAUACCGGAUAAUAUUAUGAACCGCAUGGCUCAAAAGUGAAAGACGGUCUUGCUGUCACUUAUAGAUGGAUCCGCGCUGCAUUAGCUAGUUGGUAAGGUAACGGCUUACCAAGGCAACGAUGCAUAGCCGACCUGAGAGGGUGAUCGGCCACACUGGAACUGAGACACGGUCCAGACUCCUACGGGAGGCAGCAGUAGGGAAUCUUCCGCAAUGGGCGAAAGCCUGACGGAGCAACGCCGCGUGAGUGAUGAAGGUCUUCGGAUCGUAAAACUCUGUUAUUAGGGAAGAACAUAUGUGUAAGUAACUGUGCACAUCUUGACGGUACCUAAUCAGAAAGCCACGGCUAACUACGUG
rnacentral:rRNA from 1 species